rnacentral:rRNA from 1 species
GCUCAUCAGAUAAAAGGUACUCCGGGGAUAACAGGCUUAUCGCAUCCGAGCGUCCACAGCGGCGAUGCGGUUUGGCACCUCGAUGUCGGCUCAUCGCAUCCUGGGGCGGUAGUACGUCCCAAGGGUUGGGCUGUUCGCCCAUGAAAGCGGUACGCGAGCUGGGUUCAGAACGUCGUGAGACAGUUCGGUCCAUAUCCGGUGUAGGCGUUAGAAUAUUGAGAGGAGCCUUCUUUAGUACGAGAGGACCGAGAAGGACAUACCUCUGGUGUACCAGUUAUCGUGCCAACGGUAAACGCUGGGUAGCUAUGUAUGGAGUGGAUAACCGCUGAAAGCAUCUAAGUGGGAAGCCCACCUCAAGAUAAGUAUUCUCAUCAUGUAAGUGAGUAAGGUCACGGGAAGACUACCCGUUUGAUAGGCAUUAAGUGUAAAUGUAGUAAUAUAUGAGCUGAGAUGUGCUAACAGACCGA